GACGAACGCUGGCGGCGUGCUUAACACAUGCAAGUCGAACGGAAAGGCCCUGCUUUUGUGGGGUGCUCGAGUGGCGAACGGGUGAGUAACACGUGAGUAACCUGCCCUUGACUUUGGGAUAACUUCAGGAAACUGGGGCUAAUACCGGAUAGGAGCUCCUGCUGCAUGGUGGGGGUUGGAAAGUUUCGGCGGUUGGGGAUGGACGCGCGGCUUAUCAGCUUGUUGGUGGGGUAGUGGCUUACCAAGGCUUUGACGGGUAGCCGGCCUGAGAGGGUGGACGGCCACAUUGGGACUGAGAUACGGCGCAGACGCCAACGGGAGGCAGCAGUGGGGAAUAUUGCACAAUGGGCGGAAGCCUGAUGCAGCAACGCCGCGUGCGGGAUGACGGCCUUCGGGUUGUAAACCGCAUUCGCCUGUGACGAAGCGUGAGUGACGGUAAUGGGUAAAGAAGCACCGGCUAACUACGUG
rnacentral:rRNA from 1 species